rnacentral:rRNA from 11 species
AGUAAAAACAAUUGGAUUCCCUAAAAGCAUUAGAUCCUAUCUGAUCUUAGAAACUAAGCAGUGUCAGCUCUGAUUAGUACUUGGAUGGGAGAUCACCAAUGAAUAUCAAGUACUCUUGGCUA